GCUUCAGGAACGAAUACUUAAUCACUAAGCUUAGCUUCUCUCUCGUUGACGAUCUUACAAGAAUCCUAUAAAUAUCCAGAAUUCCAUAUCGAGGAUAUCAAUCUCAGUUUCAAUAAUAACUAAACACCUACAUUGCAGUUUCAUUUCCGAGGAUCAAAAGAAGCUUUAUCAGGUUAGAGAGAUGCCUCCACAUGGACCUCACGGUGGAGGAGGUGGUCCUCACGGCGGUGGUGGAUUUGGACCAGGCGGCCAUGGUGGUGGCGGCGGGGGUUUUGGACCGUUCGGCUGCAUAGGAGCCCUCUGUGGCGGCAUAGGCAGCGUUGUGUCAUCUUGUGCCUAUAUCCUGUGCUGCUGCUGCCUACUGGAUAAUUGCUUUGGUCGGGGUGGUCCUCACGGUGGCGGUGGUGGACCUCACGGCGGCGGCGGACCUCAUGGUGGGGGGUUUGGCGGGGGUGGAGGUGGAGGACGUGGUGGUGGUGGUGGUGGGCGCUUCUGAUCAUCAGAUCAUCUGCAUGCUUUGUGAUCUGCUGGUUGUGAUCAAAUAUACAUGCAUAUAUGCAUCAUGUAAUAAGGUAGCAGAGAGAUACUGGCAUUUUCCUGCAGUUGUAGGCUUUUAGCUAGCAAAUUUUCAACUCAAAUUCCUGUGUAUUCCUUUUAAUUUCCAUUUGUAAAAAUUUGUUUUCUCAAGGUUGCGUGCAUUGUACUACUAUAUGCUUGAUUUACCCACAGCAACAGGCAGUACUAUAUAUGAUGGCAACAUUUGCAUUUAAAUUAGUUGAAGUACUCGAUUUGGCA